rnacentral:tRNA from 1 species
GGGCGCUUAGCUCAGGGGUUAGAGCACUUCCCUUACAAGGAAGGGGUCGGAGGUUCGAAUCCUCCAGCGCCCACCA